UUGCUUCAGCAGCACAUAUACUAAAAUUGAAAUGAUACAGAGAAGAUUAGCAUGGCCCUGCACAAGAUUCACAUGCAAAUUUGUGAAGCAUUCCAUAUUUUU
rnacentral:snRNA from 1 species